UGCGCGAGUCAUUGGGACUAGCGAAACCUAAAGGCACAAUGAAAGUGAAGGUCGGCCUCGCGCUGACCGAGGGAGGAUGGGUGGCGGUACACGCCGCCCCGCACUCCCGGGGCGUCUCGUUCUCAUCGCGAGAAGAGGCGCACCCAGAGCGUACACGCUGGGACCCGAAAGAUGGAGAACUAUGCCUGGUCAGGACGAAGUCAGGGGAAACCCUGAUGGAGGUCCGUAGCGAUUCUGACGUGCAAAUCGAUCGUCGGAACUGGGUAUAGCGGCGAAAGACUAAUCGAUCUAUCUAGUAGCUGGUUCCCUCCGAAGUUUCCCUCAGGAUAGCUGGCGCUCGCAUUGCGAGUCUCAUCCGGUAAAGCGAAUGAUUAGAGGCAUUGGGGUCGAAACGGCCUCAACCUAUUCUCAAACUUUAAAUGGGUGAGAUCUCCGGCUUGCUCGAACUUGAAGCCGCGAGAAUUUUACACAAGGAUCAGAGUGCCAAGUGGGCCACUUUUGGUAAGCAGAACUGGCGCUGUGGGAUGAACCAAACGCCGAGUUAAAGCGCCUAAAUCGACGCUUAUGGGAUACCAUGAAAGGCGUUG
rnacentral:rRNA from 1 species